GGUUUGAACUGGUUUGAACUGGUUUGAACUGGUUUAUACUGGUUUAUACUGGGGGUCUCCUUUCCCCAUCACAGGAGGACCUGGUCACUGAUGCAAUGCCCAUAGUGGAGCGUGAUGGACCUAUAGGGGACCCCCCCUCCAGAUGCGAUCGGCCGCGCACCCCCCCCUCCAGCUCCUCUCCCCAUGCCCCCCCCCCGCCGCUAUGGGGCAGCCCCAUAGCGCUGUGGGGCAGCCCCAUAGCGCUAUGGGGCAGGAGGAGGAAGGAGGGGGCUGGGCCUGCGCUUCCUGCACCUUCCUCAACCCCGACCCCAGUGUUCUCUGUGGGGUGUGCGAGCGCCCCCGCCUGGCCCGGAGGCCUCCGCCGCAGGGCUGGUCCUGCCCCCAUUGCACCUACUUCAACCCAGGCCCCGGCCCCACAUGUGCCCUCUGCCGGCAGCACAUGGGCACCCCCUUGGCCCCGCC